CACAGAAAAAGACACAAAUAGCACAAGAAAGCAUUUUUCUCACACUCUGUCUAGAAUAUUUCAUUUGUGUUAGGAAUGGUAAGGGAAAUAGGAAAUCUCAGAUAUUACUGGAGAAUUAAAACAGCAUAGGAUACUAUAUGAUACAGUUGCAUGGUUUCUGGCAGGCUUUGUCUGUAAGAAAAUGAAACAUAGUAUAUUGUUUCUGUCCUCAUCAGAAAAUACAAGAAUGGACUUUUCUGUUAUCAAGUACUCCUGUAAGAUAGGCUGAGACUAAUAGAAAUAGGAUACAAAAGAUCAUACCACCACUAAACUCUUAUUCAGGAUUGUGGUUGCAAAGUACCUUUCCAAAACAAGAAUAAACAUAAGUGAGCAUCAGAGAUGAAAGACUGCACCUACAUUUCAGCUCCCUAAGCAACUUUCCUGCAUAAAUACUUUGAAGGCCUGUCCAUGGUUGUCUCUGAAACAGUUAACAGGAAAAGAAUUUAGUAUAACGGGUUUUAGAUUUGCAUUAAGUUGCAGAUCUGAAGAUGCAUGUGAGAGAGUGCCAAACCGUUGGGUUACCUAAUUACAGAUACCAUUUCAUCGAUCUUUCCAGGCAUAUAUUUACACUAGCCUUGCUUUAUCUCGCUUAAUGAAAACCCUUGCUUUACCUGCCUGUCACCCAAGAAAGUGGUCAAGAACAUACUUAACUCCUCUCACACUUAUACAAGCAACCCUUUCAGCUGCUCUACUCUGGGAGUGUAAGCAAGCCAUCAGAGAACAAACAGCUAGACAAGUGCUUGGCCAGCAAGAGAGAAAUCCCUGAGAGAAGCAUACAGCCCCCCAUCGCUCAGAGCCGCAUCCUAGGGAUACCAGCAAACAUCUUGCAAUUGGUUUUGCUGCGACAAGAGUGUACUCUGUCAGCUUAACCCGGAGCUGAGCUACAAGAUAGAGUGAAUGUAGCUUGAAUGUAUCAGUUGAAAACUGGGUAUGUAUCUGUAAAUAUAUACAGCCGGCACUCACAGACGUGUACAUCAAGCACCAGGAAAAGGGAGAAUAUGAAGGUAUAAGAAUGUGCCAUAUUUCUAUGUUAUGAUAGAGUUAUUUUACGCCUUUUUGCAUCUGCCAUGCCUCUCCGUUACGAGGUUCUUUUCCUUGAAUCUCUUUUAGCAAUUGUGCCAUUCUACUGACCAAUUUCUAACACUGCAUACUGGCUUUUGAGGAUUUUCUAACAUCCAAUCCACAUCUACAUUUAUUUCAUUCUUAAGCUCAGACCUCUGAUUUCAUACCUGUAUAGUAUACUUAUCAUUCUCACUCAGACAGCUUAGUUAUCUGAGUGAACAUUAGGUCAGUGAGACAGAUGUUUCUCCAGUGCUGUUAACCAUUAAUUUUUUAUUUAUUUAGGAGCCUUUAUCAUUUGGUGUCUACCUUUCUUUCUUUCUUUUCAACAAAUAAAGCAGUAUUUGACUCCCA
rnacentral:lncRNA from 1 species